CAAACUGAUUAUUUGCACACAUUUACCUGAAUGCUAAUUGCUUUCAGUGCUCUCAAAACACCAUUUGAUGGAAAAAUAACAACUUCCAUCAUACAGUAAAAGGCAAUUUCACCAACUUAGAAAGGAUAACUUGGGAAAAUCUGUACCAAGCUUGAUUUACCUUCAUGUUUUGCAGACAUGUGUACCACUUGCAACAGUUGUGACUCAACUCCAGCACAAAAUAGUUGCUGAAGUUCAUUGGAGGAACAGCUAUAUAAGAAAUUAUAAGGCUAUCUUUGCUCUACUGUGUUGGUCGGAGGCAGAGAUCAGCUGUAUGGGCCUCAUAACCUGCACCAACAACAAAUGAUUUUUCUCUUCCACAGAGGCAAGGACAUCAAGUCUACACCUUGUGGAGCACAUGAUAAGCAAACCCCUUUAAAACAGAAUCCAAAGGUUUUAUAUAGCUGCUUUCAGCAAAUAUGUGACAAACACCAAGAUCCCUCAGUUCCUUCAGCU